AGUUUGAUCCUGGCUCAGGAUGAACGCUGGCGGCGUGCCUAACACAUGCAAGUCGCGGGAGAACGCCCUUUCGGGGGCGGAGACCGGCGCACGGUGUGAGUAACACGUAGCUGAUCUACCCUUCAGAGGCGGAUAACCAAUGGAAACAGUGGCUAAUACGCCAUAAGCUCACGGUCAAUAGCGGGCAGUGAGAAAAGCUUUGGCGCUGAGGGAUGAGGCUGCAAGCCAUCAGCUAGUUGGUGUGGUAAUGGCACACCAAGGCGACGACGGCUAGGGGACCUGAGAGGGUGACCCCCCACACUGGAACUGAGACACGGUCCAGACUUCUACGGAAGGCAUGCAGCUGAGGAAUAUUGCACAAUGGGCGCAAGCCUGAUGCAGCGACGCCGCGUGGGUGAAGACGGUUUUCGGACUGUAAAGCCCUUUUCUGUGUGACGAGAGAGGACGGUAACACAGGAAUAAGUCUCGGCUAACUACGUGCCAGUCAGCCGCGGUAAAACGUAGGAGGCAAGCGUUAUCCGGAGUUACUGGGCGUAAAGCUGCGUGCAGGUGGUUGAGUAAGUUAGUUAUGAAAGCUCCUGGCUAAACUGGGAGAGGUUGACUAAACUGCUGAACUAAGUGGAUGAGAGGUUAAACGGAAUUCCGCGUGUAGUGGUGAAAUGCGUAGAUAUCGGAGGAACAACCAGUUGGCGAAGGCCGGUUUACUGGCAUCCAACUUGACACUCAGACGCGAAAGCAUGGGUAGCGAACGGGAUUAGAAACCCCGGUAGUCCAUGCCGUAAACGAUGCAGACUUGGUGUUGGUGGUCCGCGAGGGCUGUGAGUGUUGAAGCCAACGCGAUAAGUGUGCCGCCUGGGGAGUACGGUCGCAAGGCUAAACUCAAAGGAAUUGACGGGGGCCCGCACAAGCAGCGGAGCGUGUGGUUUAAUUCGAGUCUACGCGAAGAACCUUACCUGGGUUUGACAUGUUGGUAGUAAGGAGCUGAAAGGCCUCUGACCCGCAGGAGAGCUAUCACAGGUGCUGCAUGGUUGUCGUCAGCUCGUGCCGUGAGGUGUUCGGUUAAGUCCGCAAACGAGCGCAACCCUCGGCGUUAGUUACAAGUGUCUAGCGCGACUGCCCGUGACAAACGGGAGGAAGGUGGGGAUGACGUCAAAUCAGCAUGGCCUUUAUAUCCAGGGCUACACACACGCUACAAUGGUCGGUACAAUGGGUCGCGAAGCCGCGAGGUGGAGCCAAUCCUCCAAAGCCGAUCUCAGUUCGGAUUGCAGGCUGCAACUCGCCUGCAUGAAGUCGGAGUUGCUAGUAACCGCGUAUCAGCACGGCGCGGUGAAUACGUUCCCGGGCCUUGUACACACCGCCCGUCACGUCAUGGAAGCGGGUCACGCCUAAAGUCGGGAAGCUAACCGCAAGGGAGCUACCGCCGAAGGCAGGACUGGUGACUGGGACGAAGUCGUACAAGGUAGCUGUAGCGGAAGCUGCGGCUGGAUCACCUCC
rnacentral:rRNA from 1 species